CUUAAGUAGUAAUAGAUAUAGGCUUGAAACUUAAAGAAUUUGGCGGUAUUUUAAUCUUUUCAGAGGAACCUGUUCUAUAAUCGAUAUUCCACGUUAAAUUUUACUAAAUUAUUUAUAUAUCGUUGUCGAAAGAAUAAAUUUUCUAAUAUUUUAAGGAAAAUAGAUGUCAAAUCAAGGUGUAGUUGAUGAUUUAGUAGAAAUGGGUUACAAUAAAUUUAUUUAGAAAAUUUUAGAAGGAGGAUUUGAAAGUAAAUUAAUUUUAAUA
rnacentral:rRNA from 1 species